rnacentral:rRNA from 1 species
GUGGCCUACGGGACGCAGCAGUGAGGAAUAUUGGUCAAUGGCCGGAAGGCUGAACCAGCCAAGCCGCGUGAAGGACGAAGGUGCCAAGCAUUGUAAACUUCUUUUGUCAAGGGACAAAAUCAGGCUCGAGAGCCUGACCGAGGGUACUUGAAGAAAAAGCAUCGGCUAACUCCGUGCCAGCAGCCGCGGUAAUACGUAGGGAGCAAGCGUUAUCCGGAAUUAUUGGGUGUAAAGGGUGCGUAGACGGGAUGUCAAGUUAGUCGUGAAAUACCUCGGCUCAACUGAGGAACUGCAACUAAAACUAA